rnacentral:rRNA from 1 species
AGUGAACGCUGGCGGUAGGCCUAACACAUGCAAGUCGAACGGCAGCACAGUAAGAGCUUGCUCUUACGGGUGGCGAGUGGCGGACGGGUGAGGAAUACAUCGGAAUCUACUUUUUCGUGGGGGAUAACGUAGGGAAACUUACGCUAAUACCGCAUACGACCUACGGGUGAAAGCAGGGGAUCUUCGGACCUUGCGCGAUUGAAUGAGCCGAUGUCGGAUUAGCUAGUUGGCGGGGUAAAGGCCCACCAAGGCGACGAUCCGUAGCUGGUCUGAGAGAAUGGUCAGCCACACUGGAACUGAGACACGGUCCAGACUCCUACGGGAGGCAGCAGUGGGGAAUAUUGGACAAUGGGCGCGAGCCUGAUCCAGCCAUACCGCGUGGGUGAAGGAGGCCUUCGGGUUGUAAAGCCCUUUUGUUGGGAAAGAAAAGCGGCAGGUUAAUACCCCGCUGUUCUGACGGUACCCAAAGAAUAAGCACCGGCUAACUUCGUG